GACGAACGCUGGCGGCGUGCUUAACACAUGCAAGUCGAACGGAAAGGCCCUGCUUUUGUGGGGUGCUCGAGUGGCGAACGGGUGAGUAACACGUGAGUAACCUGCCCUUGACUUUGGGAUAACUUCAGGAAACUGGGGCUAAUACCGGGUAGGAGCUCCUGCUGCAUGGUGGGGGUUGGAAAGUUUCGGCUGUUGGGGAUGGACUCGCGGCUUAUCAGCUUGUUGGUGGGGUAGUGGCUUACCAAGGCUUUGACGGGUAGCCGGCCUGAGAGGGUGACCGGCCACCUUGGGACUGAGAUACGGCCCAGACUCCUACCGGCGGCAGCAGUGGGGAAUAUUGCACAAUGGGCGGAAGCCUGAUGCAGCAACGCCGCGUGCGGGAUGACGGCUUUCGGGUUGUAAACCGCUUUCGCCUGUGACGAAGCGUGAGUGACGGUAAUGGGUAAAGAAGCACCGGCUAACUACGUG
rnacentral:rRNA from 1 species